rnacentral:pre_miRNA from 1 species
UGGGCAGAUUUUUGAGUAUGCCCGCUGUACAAUUCCAGUCGCCGUUUUGAGGUUAGCUACUCGGGAUAUGCUGUCUUUGCCA